rnacentral:rRNA from 1 species
GUAGGUGGCAAGCGUUGUCCGGAAUUAUUGGGCGUAAAGCGCGCGCAGGCGGUUCUUUAAGUCUGAUGUGAAAGCCCACGGCUCAACCCGUGGGAGGGUCAUUGGAAACUGGAGAACUUGAGUACAGAAGAGGAAAGCGGAAUUCCACGUGUAGCGGUGAAAUGCGUAGAGAUGUGGAGGAACACCAGUGGCGAAGGCGGCUUUCUGGUCUGUAACUGACGCUGAGGCGCGAAAGCGUGGGGAGCAAACAGGGAUUAGAUACCCUGGUAGUCCACGCCGUAAACGAUGAGUGCUAAGUGUUAGGGGGUUUCCGCCCCCCUUAGUGCUGCAGCUAACGCAUUAAGCACUCCGCCUGGGGAGUACGGCCGCAAGGCUG